UCCCUGGUGUGCCAAGGGGACUUUGAAAUUCUCUGGGGCCCCUCAAUUCUUUCCCAAGUAUCACUAGCUAUAUGGGAUAAUGGCAGAACCUGAGGAUGGGAGGUACAAGGGAUUCCCUCUGUAAACAGAUGGUCAGGAACCUGACUUCUCCCUGACGCUGCUUGAAGCUCUGACACUGGGCCUCAUACUUGGGCUGAGACAGUGGGUGUGUGCUUCAGAAGAAUCCUGGGCUCAUUGUCACAAGGAGUGAUAUUCAAGAAAACAAUCCUUUGGAGGGCUGUUGAGGAAUUCAGCACCUGGUUUCCACCACUGGCCAGUGAAGAGAUGCUCAGGAAUCCAUGGAAUUUGAGAAUGGAGAGGUCUUCUCUAUUUUAUUCCUCUGGAGUUGGUAUUAUGUACUUAGUCAUUGGCCUUUAACUUCAUUCUUUACAUCACAUUAUUCAAUUUGGUCUAUUAUUCUAAUAAUUGAUAUUCUGUCUUCCAGCAAAUUAAAUCCAGUCCCUGCUUGGAGUUCUCUGAGUUUCCUGGAUCUGUGGUUUGAUAUCUGACAUUAACUUGAGGAAAUUCUCAGUCAUUAUUGUUUCACAUAUUUCUUCCAUUCCUUUUUCUCUUUGUUCUCCUUUGGGAAUUCCAUUGCACGUAUAUUGUUUCUUUUGCAGUUGUCUCAGAUAAUUGUCUCAAUUCCAUUCUAUUGUUUUCAGUCAUUUUUCUCUUUGCUUUUUAAUUUUGGAAGUUUAUUCUGAUAUCCUCAAACUCAGGGAUUCUUUUUUCAGCUAUGUCCAGUCUACUAUUUAAUAAUAAUAAGCUCAUCAAAGGCAUUCUGCAUUUCUCUAACAGUGGUUUUCUUCAUUAGUGUUUCUUUUUGGUUAACCAAAAUUUCUUAGAAUUUCUAUUUCUCUGCUUACAUUGUUCAAUUGUUCUUGCAUGGUAUUUACUUUAUCCAUUAGUGCCCUUUGCAUAUUAAUUAUAGUUGUUUUAAGUUUCUGGUAUUGAAAUUCCAACAUCCCUUCCAUAUCUGGUUCUGAUGUCUGUUCUGUCUCUUCAAACUGUUUUUUGUUUUGUUUUGUUUUGUUUUGUUUGCCUUUCAGUGUGCCUUAUAAUUUUUUCUUGAUAGCAGGGCAUGAUUUAAUGCAUGAAAGGAACUGUGUCAUUGGGCUUUAGUGCUGUGGUGGUAAGGUGUGGGGAGGGGAAACAAGGUAUAGUCCUGUGAGUAGGUCUCAGUAUGUGGCAAGCCUGUGCUUCUGGACUGUAAACUUCAUCAAGUACUUCUCAAUUUUUUAUCCCCCUUUAGGUGGCACAGGGUGGCUGGAGUGGGCUAGAGUUGGAUAUUCCCCUCACUCAAGGUAGUUAGACUCCAAGAAAACCCUGGCAGGCUAGGCUCUGGUUAACUAGUUUCUUCUGAAGGCAGGCCUUCUUCUUCCUGUUAAGAAGAGAGUGCUCUGGUGUAUUCAAAAUAGUUCCUUUUCCCCUCCCUUUGCUGGAAGCAGGAUCCUGUUUGAUCUCUAGGAGGCAAAACUAACAAAAGUGUACCCUUUUCUCCCCGUGCCUGGUGACUGGGUCUAGCCAGAGUUUUUACCUCCAGACUUGUCCACAAUGAACCCCCGGCACUUCGUCAAUUACAGUUCAGAUGUUUCUACCCUGGCACAUGGGGGUUGCUCCUCCAUGGAUUACUGCUCUGUUCACUCAGCUUUUGACUUGUAAGAGUGUUGAGAAGACUUCUUCGCUACUUAUGUGCUGGACCAGAAACCAGAAGUUCACCAGUAUCCUUUGAGUAAAAUUUUUCAAAUAGUUUCAAAUCCACCUUCUAUACUUGUAUUUAAAUCAUAUUUCUGCCAUGUGCCUCAAAGAUAUUGUUGCUGUUAAUUCAGCAUAGAUUUAUUUUUUAUGCUAAUACCUAUUUUGUUGGAGAUUGUGCACUGAAAGACAGAUAUUGAUAUCUAUUUGACAACAGAUAUAUAAAUGUUUGCCACCCGAUAUCCAUUCUCUUUCUUCUGAUAACACACACUGACCUGUUUUCCUCUAGAGAACCAACUCCUGCCCCAGUCUCAACACACCUGAUUCUCAGUUGGAGCUGCUGGCUGCAGCAGGGGACCCCACCUGGCCAGCAUUGUCAUCCUUUGGUCAUGCUGGAUAUUCAAGGAUGCUCCUGUGAUCAAUCCCAUUGAGACUGCAAAGGCUGGGUCCAUCUUGAACCAUAUGAAAAUAAAAUAUGUCUUUUAUUUUUCCUACUAGACUUGAAUCUUGUAAAAAUUAAGGCUUCGCCUGCUAGGGUCACUGUAAGUUGUAGGUAGGUUCUACCUGAAAGGGAGACAGCACAGAAGAAAACUGAAGCAAGAAAAGAAGACAAAUCAACUCCUAAUAAUGUGAUGUGAGGUGUGAGGUCCUUGCAGGCUCAAAGAAGUUUCUAACUGGUUCUCUUUGUAAUCACCAGAGCCAAUUCACAUCUUUUUUUUUUCCCCCCAAGCUUAUUUGAAUUGAAGUCUUCUGUCACUUGGAAUUUCAGAAGCCCUGACAAAUAAAAUGGUUCAUUAAUUGAAUCGGCUAUAUAACAAUUCAAAUGGUGGCCUGACAACAUAUCUGCAGUUGUCAAAAUUCUACCAUAAUAAUUAGACUAUAAAUGGUGUUUAGUCCUAUUUUCAGUAUUCUCAAAAGUGCUGUCUUAGAAAUUAAGCCACCGCUUUUUCUGCACAAGAAUUCCUUUCAUGCCAUCCCAGCAAAUCUGCCUCUAUGUGCUCAGAUGCAGAACUGGUUCUGAAUUGUGCAAAGAGCCACCAUUGCCAGCUCUGCUCCAUUUUUUUCUGGCAGCCCCAGCAUCCAAUCAAGAUUUCUGGAUCUUUUCCAAUUAUAACACCAUUUGGAAAUACUCAGCAUUUUCCAGCCUUGAAUAAUGUAUUGAUCUCUUUAAAGUAGAAAAUAUUCUCACAGACCCCCAAUGUUGACUUAAAUUCUUUUUAUUGUAAUUUUACUUAAAUAUAUAUGCAAACAUAAAACACUACAAACUGUUAGGCUUAUAACUUUUAGACAACUAUAAAAAUAAACUUACAGAACAGAUAUAAUAUAAACUACAAAACCGAUGAAAUGGAAACGAGCUACAUUAGCUUACCAGGACAGAGCAGAGAGUAUUCCCGAAGCCCCAUGCCUGCUCAGCUUGGGAGGCCAAUGUUUCUAAUUACUCUUGAGUUCUGAGCUCAGCAUUGUCAGAGGAUUCCUGCCUAGCGGGGCCUGGAUUCUCCAACAUUUUUCUGUAUUUAGAUUAUUUCAAUGCUUCAUUAGCAUGGCUUCCCAUAAAGUCACUGGCCUCUACUUAACAUAACUGUAGCCGUUAUUUAUGAAGACUCUCUGCUGUGUCUUAUUGAAUCUGUGACUAUUAAAAUUGUACCAAAAGCAGUAUCAGCAUAAUAAUAAACAUCUGAACUGUGAGAAACAAAAUCACAUGAUGGCCCUCAGCAAGGUGAUCAUCUAAAGAUCUAGAAGAUGCUUAUGUAAUUUUUAACCAACUUUAUUGAGGAAUAGUUUACAUACAAUAAAAUGUACAGACUUUAUAUGCUUGGAUGAAUUUUGACAAAUAUAUACAUUUGUAACAAACACACCAAUCAAAAUAUACAUUGUUACCCCUCAGUAACUUUCCUGUUGUCGAUUUCAGUCAAUAUCCUAUCUGACUGCCAUGAAAGUUGUCAGAAUCAAAACAGAGUCACUAAUGUUAGGAAACCACUGACAAAUAGAGCUGGGAAAGGCUAUGAAUAGAAACUUCUCAUGCUUGUAUGCCUGAUAACAAAAAAAGGCUACAAAAACCAAAACUUUGCACAAAGGCUGUCACAACCCUACGCAAAAAAUCUUCCAGGACAUCUAUCUGUCCAGCAACUGCCUGUCCAACCUCUGGCUUGUGUCACCCUUGCUAUAGAUCUUUGUAGUCAAAGAUAAUUAUUUAAAAGCAAUUAUGAAAUUCUUCUCAUUUUCCCUUUAAAAUCCUUAGUUUUCCCUUACCUCCCUGAAUACACACAUAGUUUAGUAUGACAUGUCUAUUCCCACUGCAAUGCCCUAUUCCCCGAUAAGUAUCUUUUCUUUUAGAGAGCCUGACUCUGCUUGUUUUUCAGGUUGAUACUGCCAAACCAAUCCUUCACACACCCAAUAUCAGAAAAUCACUUCCAUUUUGCUUAAGGACUUCCUAUACAUGGAAUCACAUAGCAUCAUAUAGUCUCUUGUGUGUCUUUUUUCACUCAAUACUAUGUUUUUGAGAUCUGUUCAUGUGAUUAUGUACAUUAGGAAACUGUUCAAUGUUCUUGCUAAGUAGUGUCACAUUGUAUGGCUCUUCAAAAGUUUGUUUCUCCAUUCACCUGUUAAAGACAUUUGGGUUGUUUUUGGGCUUUGGUUAUUGGGAAUAAACUGAUAUGUCUUCCUGUGGGUUUAUGCUCUCUGAGAAGUGUAAUUGCUGUAUGUAUAUAUAUAUAUAUACAUUUAUAUAUAUAUAUAUGUGUAUAUAUAUAACCCUAUAAGAAAUUGCUGAAUUACUUUCCAAAAUGUCUGGCCAUGUGUUGUACUUCUACCAGCAGUAUUUGAUAAUUCCCAUUGUUCUACUUCCUUGCCAAUAUUGAUGUUAUUAAUCUUUUUGAAUUUUAGCCAACCUAGUACAUGUGAAGUAGCAUCUCAGCUUAGUUUUAAUUUGCCUUUGCCUUCUAACUAGCCAAUGUCAGACACUUUUUCAUGUGCUUUUGGCGUUUUGUAUAUAUUAUGUUGUAAGGAGUCUAUUUAUAAUUGCCUGUUUUUGAAUAAAAACAAAUUGAUUAUUUGUCUUUUUUGUUGAGUUUCUGGAGUUUAUACAUUUUUUGGAGAGACAUCCUUAGAUAUAAAAAUUAUAAAUAUUUUCCCCCAUUUUCAUUGUUUUUAAUUUUUAUUUUGCUUAUUUCUUUAAUUAUUUAUUUAUUUAGUUUGAGACAGAGUCUCGCUCUGUCAUACAGUCUGGAGUGCAGUGGUACAAUCUCGGCUCAUUGCAACUCCAUUUCCCAGGCUCAAGUGAUUCUCCUGCCUCAGCCUCCUGAGUAGCUGGGAUUACACGUCUGCACCACCACGCCCAGCUAAUUUUUGUAUUUUUAGUAGAGACGGGGUUUCACCAUGUUGCCAAAGCUGGUCUCAAACUCCUGACCUCGUGAUCCACCCACCUCGGCCUCCCCAAGUGCUGGGCCACCGUGCCCGGAACUUCAUUGUUUUUAAAAAGUUUUAAAAUCUUGUUCUUUCAUUUUUUAACAAUGAAGUGAAAACAAAGUUUAAAAACACCUGCAUUUUUAAAGCCUCUUAAAAAGCAAUAAUUUAUUUAACAAAUUCCAACUUAAAAAUUUUGUUUUCUUCAUUAUUCCUCGUUUCUUUUUGUCUUUUCUAGGAUAUUUUUGCCUGCUCUGAGGUCAAGAACAAUUCUGUCCAUGUUUUCUUCUGGAUGCUGUAUUGUUUUAGAUUUUGUAUUUAGGUCUAUGAUCUAGUUCAAGGUAAUUUUGUGAUGUAUCCAGAGUUAGAAGUCAAGGUUUCUUUCUUCCAUACAGAUACCUACCGUUUCCAUUAUCAUUUGUUGAGGACUGUCCUCAUCCUCAGAGUAGACAAAAAUAUCCUAGAAAAGAUAACUUUCUUUUCAAUAUUUUUCAAAAUUCCAUCAACUAUCAAGUGAAUUUGUCAGAUACCUGUUCUGUUCCACAGCUUUAAAGAUAGAUUUGUAUGCCAAUGCCAUUAGUUCCUUAAUUAAAUACCUUUAUAAUAAGCCUUGAAAUCAGGUAGUGUCCGUCCUUUUGAUUAAAAAAAAGUAUUAGCUUUGAAUUUAUUAAGUAUAUUGCUUUGAAUUUCCUUACGAGUAGUUGAAGCAACGUGUCAGCCUCUAGAGACAUACUUGCUGGGUGGUAUUGAGUCCACAGAUCCAUUGGGAGAGACCUGACAUCUUAAUAACAUUGAAUCUCUAAUCUAUGAACAUAGUACAUGUCUCUACAUGUUAACUUAAUUUUCUCUGUGAAUUUUUUAAUACAAAGUUCUAACACACAAUUUUAAAAAUUUAUUACAAAGUAUUUUCUGUUUUUAGAUGUUAUUAUAAAUACCUUAAAGUUUUAUUUUCCAAUUGUUUCUUGCUAGUGUAUAGUAAUGAAAUUGGUUUUAGCAUAUUGACCUUAUGUCCUAUCACCUGGGUUAAUUCAUUUAUUAAUUCUAGUAAUUGCUUUGCAUAUCCUUUGUAUUUUUUUAAGAAAAAAAUUGUAUUGGCAUCAAAUAAAGACAAGUUUAAUUCUUUCUUUCAAUCUUUAUUUCUUUUUAUUUUUAAAUACUUCAUUUCAUUCUUUAGGGACCUGUAACACAAUGUGGAAUAAAAGGACUC